rnacentral:rRNA from 1 species
GGAAAAAGGGGGGGUUUUAUAUAUAUUUUUUUUUCCCCGUCAGGCGAACGCUGGCGGCGUGCUUAACACAUGCAAGUCGAGCGGUAAGGCCCUUCGGGGUACACGAGCGGCGAACGGGUGAGUAACACGUGAGCAACCUGCCCCUGACUCUGGGAUAAGCGGUGGAAACGCCGUCUAAUACCGGAUACGACCCACCACCUCAUGGUGGAGGGUGGAAAGUUUUAUCGGUCAGGGAUGGGCUCGCGGCCUAUCAGCUUGUUGGUGGGGUAACGGCCUACCAAGGCGAUUACGGGUAGCCGGCCUGAGAGGGCGACCGGCCACACUGGGACUGAGACACGGCCCAGACUCCUGCGGGAGGCAGCAGUGGGGAAUAUUGCACAAUGGGCGAAAGCCUGAUGCAGCGACGCCGCGUGGGGGAUGACGGCCUUCGGGUUGUAAACCUCUUUUACCACCAACGCAGGCUCCACGUUCUCGUGGGGUUGACGGUAGGUGGGGAAUAAGGACCGGCUAACUACGUGCCAGCAGCCGCGGUAAUACGUAGGGUCCGAGCGUUGUCCGGAAUUAUUGGGCGUAAAGAGCUCGUAGGCGGCAUGUCGCGUCUGCUGUGAAAGACCGGGGCUUAACUCCGGUUCUGCAGUGGAUACGGGCAUGCUAGAGGUAGGUAGGGGAGACUGGAAUUCCUGGUGUAGCGGUGAAAUGCGCAGAUAUCAGGAGGAACACCGGUGGCGAAGGCGGGUCUCUGGGCCUUACCUGACGCUGAGGAGCGAAAGCAUGGGGAGCGAACAGGAUUAGAUACCCUGGUAGUCCAUGCCGUAAACGUUGGGCGCUAGGUGUGGGGACUUUCCACGGUUUCCGCGCCGUAGCUAACGCAUUAAGCGCCCCGCCUGGGGAGUACGGCCGCAAGGCUAAAACUCAAAGGAAUUGACGGGGGCCCGCACAAGCGGCGGAGCAUGUUGCUUAAUUCGACGCAACGCGAAGAACCUUACCAAGGUUUGACAUCACCCGUGGACCUGUAGAGAUACAGGGUCAUUUAGUUGGUGGGUGACAGGUGGUGCAUGGCUGUCGUCAGCUCGUGUCGUGAGAUGUUGGGUUAAGUCCCGCAACGAGCGCAACCCUUGUUCCAUGUUGCCAGCACGUAAUGGUGGGGACUCAUGGGAGACUGCCGGGGUCAACUCGGAGGAAGGUGGGGACGACGUCAAGUCAUCAUGCCCCUUAUGUCUUGGGCUGCAAACAUGCUACAAUGGCCGGUACAAUGGGCGUGCGAUACCGUAAGGUGGAGCGAAUCCCUUAAAGCCGGUCUCAGUUCGGAUUGGGGUCUGCAACUCGACCCCAUGAAGGUGGAGUCGCUAGUAAUCGCGGAUCAGCAACGCCGCGGUGAAUACGUUCCCCGGGCCUUGUACACACCGCCCCGUCACGUCAUGAAAGUCGGCAACACCCGAAACUUGUGGCCUAACCCUUCGGGGAGGGAAUGAGUGAAGGUGGGGCUGGCGAUGGGACCAUCAACAAAGCGCCCCCCCCAAAAACACAGAAAAAAGGGGGGGGGC